UCCGUAGGGUGAACCUGCGGAGGGAUCAUUACUGAGUUUACGCUCUACAACCCUUUGUGAACAUACCUACAACUGUUGCUUCGGCGGGUAGGGUCUCCGCGACCCUCCCGGCCUCCCGCCUCCGGGCGGGUCGGCGCCCGCCGGAGGAUAACCAAACUCUGAUUUAACGACGUUUCUUCUGAGUGGUACAAGCAAAUAAUCAAAACUUUUAACAACGGAUCUCUUGGUUCUGGCAUCGAUGAAGAACGCAGCGAAAUGCGAUAAGUAAUGUGAAUUGCAGAAUUCAGUGAAUCAUCGAAUCUUUGAACGCACAUUGCGCCCGCCAGCAUUCUGGCGGGCAUGCCUGUUCGAGCGUCAUUUCAACCCUCAAGCUCUGCUUGGUGUUGGGGCCCUACAGCCGAUGUAGGCCCUCAAAGGUAGUGGCGGACCCUCCCGGAGCCUCCUUUGCGUAGUAACUUUACGUCUCGCACUGGGAUCCGGAGGGACUCUUGCCGUAAAACCCCCCAAUUUUCCAAAGGUUGACCUCGGAUCAGGUAGGAAUACCCGCUGAACUUAAGCAUAUCAAUAAGCGGAGG
rnacentral:rRNA from 1 species